GACGAACGCUGGCGGCGUGCCUAAUACAUGCAAGUCGAGCGGAACUGGGGGGAGCUUGCUCCUUCCAGUUUAGCGGCGGACGGGUGAGUAACACGUGGGCAUCCUGCCCUGCAGAUCGGGAUAACUCCGGGAAACCGGUGCUAAUACCGAAUAGUUUGGCGCCUCUCCUGAGGCGCUACGGAACGACGGUUUCGGCUGUCACUGCAGGAUGGGCCCGCGGCGCAUUAGCUAGUUGGUGGGGUAACGGCCCACCAAGGCGACGAUGCGUAGCCGAGCUGGGAGGGUGACCGGCCACGCUGGGACUGAGACACGGCCCAGACUCCUACGGGAGGCAACAGUAGGGAAUCUUCCGCAAUGGACGGAAGUCUGACGGAGCAACGCCGCGUGGGUGACGAAGGUUUUCGGAUCGUAAAACUCUGUUGUGAGGGAAGAACACGUACCAACUAACUAUUGGUACCUUGACGGUACCUCACCAGAAAGCCACGGCUAACUACGUGCCAGCCGCCGCGGUAA
rnacentral:rRNA from 1 species